rnacentral:rRNA from 1 species
GAAACGACUGCUAAGACUGGAUAGGAAAAGUGAAGGCAUCUUUACUUUUUUAAAAGACCUUCUUUGAAGGUAUGCUUAAGGAGGGGCUUGCGACACAUUAGUUAGUUGGCAGGGUAAAGGCCUACCAAGACUAUGAUGUGUAGCUGGACUGAGAGGUUGAACAGCCACAUUGGGACUGAGACACGGCCCAAACUCCUACGGGAGGCAGCAGUAGGGAAUUUUCGGCAAUGGAGGAAACUCUGACCGAGCAACGCCGCGUGAACGAUGAAGUACCUCGGUAUGUAAAGUUCUUUUAUUAAGGAAGAAAAAAGAGUGGAAAAACUCCCUUGACGGUACUUAAUGAAUAAGCCCCGGCUAAUUAUGUGCCAGCAGCCGCGGUAAUACAUAAGGGGCGAGCGUUAUCCGGAAUUAUUGGGCGUAAAGGGUGCGUAGGCGGUUUAAUAAGUCUAUAGUUUAAUUUCAGCGCUUAACGCUGUUGUGCUAUAGAAACUGUUUUACUAGAGUGAGAUAGAGGCAAGCGGAAUUCCAUGUGUAGCGGUAAAAUGCGUAAAUAUAUGGAGGAACACCAGAGGCGUAGGCGGCUUGCUGGGUCUUUACUGACGCUGAGGCACGAAAGCGUGGGGAGCAAACAGGAUUAGAUACCCUGGUAGUCCACGCCGUAAACGAUGAGUACUAAGUGUCGGGUAAAACCGGUACUGAAGUUAACACAUUAAGUACUCCGCCUGAGUAGUACGUACGCAAGUAUGAAACUUAAAGGAAUUGACGGGACUCCGCACAAGCGGUGGAUCAUGUUGUUUAAUUCGAAGAUACACGAAAAACCUUACCAGGUCUUGACAUUUUCUUGCGAAGUUAUAGAAAUAUAAUGGAGGUUAUCAGGAAAACAGGUGGUGCAUGGUUGUCGUCAGCUCGUGUCGUGAGAUGUUAGGUUAAGUCCUAAAACGAGCGCAACCCUUGUCGUUAAUUGCCAGCAUGUAAUGAUGGGGACUUUAACGAGACUGCCAAUGAAAAAUUGGAGGAAGGUGGGGAUUACGUCAAAUCAUCAUGCCCCUUAUGAUCUGGGCUACAAACGUGAUACAAUGGUUGAUACAAAGAGUAGCUGAAACGCGAGUUCUUAGCCAAUCUCACAAAAUCAAUCUCAGUUCGGAUUGAAGUCUGCAACUCGACUUCAUGAAGUUAGAAUCGCUAGUAAUCGUGAAUCAGCAUGUCACGGUGAAUACGUUCUCGGGGUUUGUACACACCGCCCGUCA